GAGUUGGCAGGCAGAUAUUUUACCCGUGAGACACCAGGGAAUCCCUAGACAUUACUAGCACUCACCAAUAUCUGAUUAUCCUGUCCUUCCUGGAUACCCAAAGAUGCAACCUCCCAUCUGCUCUCAGUUCUGCAGGACCAUGUAACUAGCAAUGACCAAUGACCUGUGAGCAGAAAGCACGUGUGUCAAUUCUGAGGCGAAACUGAAAAUUCAUUGAUCAGUCUCUCAGCUUCCCUGAAGAAUGUUGAGAUGGCAGAAAAGAAAGGAGCUGCCUGGAUUGUUAAAUUACCUUGUGGUCAUCUGUAGUAAGAGUGCCUUCAGUAUGAACAAGAAGUAAACUAUCUGGAAGGAAGUCGUGCUCACAGACCCUGCAUAGGGAGCAGCCCAAGCAACCCGUUACAUGGAGGAAUCAUAUUCUGCCUCACCUGUAUCGCCCUGGACCCAGUGACUGGACCAAGAGAGAGACCAGCAAAGUCAGACUACAAGCUGGCCAGCGCUUAGCGAAGUGGCCCACCUAGCCCAACAAGAAUUCCUCAAAUGAUUGGGACCACAAUCUGCAGUGAAAGAAAGAGUUACUACUUCUGCCUGUGGCAGGAACUGGGGAGGCCACUCAAAGGCUGAGGCACUUGAGGUGGAUCUUAGAAGAGGACCUUGCUGGAUGGAUGAGCAGAUUCAUACUUCCCUGGUCAAGGGAGAGCAUGAACAAAGAUGCAAAGCAGAGGAAAUUAAGAACAGAGACAGACUCUCUUGCACUAUUACUGUGAUGCAAUGAUGAUACUGGUUCAUGAUGUACAGCUGGAAGGUAAGACACUGAGCUUUACCCCAGGAACAUAUUGGGGUGUAGUUUAGGAACUUGGGCUGGGCUGUUGGGACCACA
rnacentral:lncRNA from 1 species